CCCCCCUUAAAAUGGCUAUUUACGAUAACAACUGUUACUGUCCCUAGCAUGUCCCUAGCUGCCUGCAGCUCAUCUGUCUUAACAAGCAUCGAACUCUUCACUCCGUGGGUAACCCGCGGUAGCUAGUCCACCACAUCUCCGCACGUGAAACUUGCCUGUAGAGACAGACGCUUUCCCUACAGGAAAGCAGUUGUCUGUUUAAAUUGGUGGGAUUGGAGGGGUGUAUGUGGUGUGUCACAUUCUAGGUCAGUGACGUCCUGGUGUAGGAAAGUAGGGGUUACGUUGUCUAUAGCCUUCCCUACUGUCUUCUGUAAGUACUUUUGUAUACAAGGAAGUACACAACAGGUUAGAAAUAGGAAGAUGAUGAUCAUUAUGAGAACUGCUGUCCCAACCUGGAAUAGGGUUCUCUGCCAACCAUUCAUCCAUCCAAACCAUCUGUCGCAGGUAUCAAUGACUCCUGAGUUCUUUCUUAGUUCAUCUGAAAGGCUAUCUAGUUUCUC